UUAAAUAUACUGUGACCAGUAAUGGUCUAAUGUAUCCACCCUUUGUGAAACUUCAAUUUUGCUUCGGCAGCACUUCUAGUGGGUAACACUGCUAGCGAGGUAAGGCUGUCAGAAGACCAAUAAAAUUAGUUUGAUGAAAUGUCAUGCAGUCUGAUAACCAUUCUUUGAGAAAUCAAAUUAUGUUA
rnacentral:misc_RNA from 1 species